GUGGUUGGAAGGGAGGCUGGGAGCCCGGCCGCCGCGGAGGAGGGUGCCUGGUACUGGAUAGGAACUUCAUGGAAUGGAGCUAAUGGGCCGUAGGGCAGGUUUGAGUCGUGCCACCCUGGAGCAGAAGGUGGAGGGUAGGGAUAAGGUAGGGGACAUCUUCCUAGAAGUUCUGAACCUGUUGCCAUUCCUACAUUCCCCCAACGUCCUUUAGCAGUGAGCACUUCCUGAAACUUUCUCCCUCCUUCACCCUCCCUGCUGGAUUUUCCAUGAUGAAAAGGGGCGGGGGGAAGGAAGGUUGGAAUUCUGAGAACCCAGUGCCCAGGGCUCAAUGCCCAGUGCUUGCCCAAAGUAGCCAGUACCACUGGCUCUAAGGCCUUCUUUCCCUCCCCGUCUCAUCUCAACUGGGUCCCUUGUCUUUGGCAAAGGCUGAGAAGUCUGGUUCUCAUUUCCAGGGGGUGGAGCACCUGAUUCCAAUCUUGCCACAGGGAAGAAGAGUCUGUGAAGAAGGUGGAGAGAAACUAGGAGAAAAGCACAGGAUGUAGAGGUCUAUUCGGCAUAAUCUUCUCCCUCAUUUUCAUCUUCACCAUCAACAGAGAGAGCAGCAUACUUGCUUGCAGAACUGAACUUCUGUAACACAACGAGAGUGACAGGAUAAUGAAGGCCCUGAAUUAUCACAUCAAAACCCAAGACACAGGAUACUGAUCCUUUGGCAAUGGGGGAUGACAGUCAGAUGACACCCACUUGCUUGCUCAUCAGCAUUGUCCAUUGGAGAGGAGCUAGGGAAGAGGGUCAGAGGCACAUGCGAUCUUACUAUAGUCUCAUACCACCUCUACACCUUGCAGAAGGGAUGAGAACAAAGGAAGACAGAAACCAGGAAAAAGCUAAACUUCUUUCGCUAUUUCAGUAAAGACCAAUGUCUUAUUUCCAAACACUUUGUAUUCCAAAUGGAAAGAAGUCCAACGGCAAAAAGUUUAGAAUACUAAGAAUUUUUAAUUCUUAGUAAGAAUACUUAGAAUUCUAAGAAUUUUUCUUAGAAUGAAAAAUUGGGAGCAGCCUUCAACACUUACGGAAGCUGGAUUUUCCUCAGGUUUCUUUGGCUCAGGUGCAGAUCUGGAGUCUUGAUCCUUUUUGCCAUCUUUCCUGCAGAGACGUAAGCAUAAAACCAUGUCUUUAGGAAAGGACUCGCCUAAUACAAACAUGUGUAUGCAUGCAGUUUCAAGGCACUGAACAGGCACCUCUAGUCAACAGUCCUUGUUGUCUGGAUGAUGUAUUACUUCUAGAUUUUCAGAAUCUUAACUGUCUACGUUGGCUGACUUUAGUUUGCUCACAAUGAGCGAUCUGGCAGUGCUCUGAGAACCAAGAACUUAAUUUCUUAAUUACACAAACAUGUGGAUCAGAGGAAAGAUGAGAAAGAGAACAAGCAUACCUAUCUGACUCCUUCCAGUGGUCUCUGUUCCCUCCGUCGCCUGGACCACGGCUAGAGUUCCCAGUUUGGCCUUUUGGGGCAUUCAUCCCAUCUACUUUAUUUUCAUCUGCUUGGGCAGUAAUGUAAACAAAUUAAAGGCAAGUAAAAGUAUCAAUGUCCCUCUCCUAAGAUUUCCCUUAAGCUGAAGAAAAUUGUGCCCACAUGUACUGAGGGAAACUAACCUCACCCCAACCCAGA
rnacentral:lncRNA from 1 species